GUGCUUGCUUCGGCAGCACAUAUACUAAAAUUGGAACGAUACAGAGAAGAUUAGCAUGGCUCCUGUGCAAGGAUGACAUGCAAAUUUGUGAAGUGUUCCAUAUUUUU
rnacentral:snRNA from 1 species